rnacentral:rRNA from 1 species
UCAGAGUUUUGAUCCUGGCUCAGAUUGAACGCUAGCGGGAUGCCUUACACAUGCAAGUCGAACGGCAGCACGGACUUCGGUCUGGUGGCGAGUGGCGAACGGGUGAGUAAUGUAUCGGAACGUGCCCAGUAGCGGGGGAUAACUACGCGAAAGCGUAGCUAAUACCGCAUACGCCCUACGGGGGAAAGCAGGGGAUCGCAAGACCUUGCACUAUUGGAGCGGCCGAUAUCGGAUUAGCUAGUUGGUGGGGUAACGGCUCACCAAGGCGACGAUCCGUAGCUGGUUUGAGAGGACGACCAGCCACACUGGGACUGAGACACGGCCCAGACUCCUACGGGAGGCAGCAGUGGGGAAUUUUGGACAAUGGGGGAAACCCUGAUCCAGCCAUCCCGCGUGUGCGAUGAAGGCCUUCGGGUUGUAAAGCACUUUUGGCAGGAAAGAAACGUCGUGGGUUAAUACCCCGCGAAACUGACGGUACCUGCAG